UCGGGGAUCGUCUAACCGGUAGGACACAACGCUCUGAACGUUGUAAUCAUGGUUCGAAUCCAUGUCCCCGAA
rnacentral:tRNA from 1 species